rnacentral:lncRNA from 1 species
AUUUGGCCACUGACUUGGAGGCCACUUUAGAUGAUAUACAAAAUGAAUGUCGCCAUUAUUCAGAAAGCACUACAUUUAUACGAUCUUCUGAAAGAGAAUUACAUGAGUUGUUAAUGAAGAAGCAACAGUUACUAGAAAAGAUGGAAUCAAAUGAAAAAGAGCUACAGGAUGCUAAGGCUCUUGCAACUACCCAACCAGGCAGUAUCAGUGAUUAUAAACUACAGGAACUAACCAAGCAAAGAAGAUCUCUCAUUGCAAAUCUAGA